AACGAACGCUGGCGGCAUGCCUAACACAUGCAAGUCGAACGAACCCUUCGGGGUUAGUGGCGCACGGGUGCGUAACGCGUGGGAAUCUGCCCUUGGCUUCGGAAUAACAGUUAGAAAUGACUGCUAAUACCGGAUGAUGUCUUCGGACCAAAGAUUUAUCGGCCAGGGAUGAGCCCGCGUAGGAUUAGGUAGUUGGUGAGGUAAAGGCUCACCAAGCCGACGAUCCUUAGCUGGUCUGAGAGGAUGAUCAGCCACACUGGGACUGAGACACGGCCCAGACUCCUACGGGAGGCAGCAGUGGGGAAUAUUGGACAAUGGGCGCAAGCCUGAUCCAGCAAUGCCGCGUGAGUGAUGAAGGCCUUCGGGUCGUAAAGCUCUUUUACCAGGGAUGAUAAUGACAGUACCUGGAGAAUAAGCACCGGCUAACUACGUGCCAGCCGCCGCCGUAA
rnacentral:rRNA from 1 species